CAAAUUCAGAUUUUCCACGUGAUCUCAUGUAGCGACUAAGAUCUACAGCAUCAGCAAGUUUAUCCACCCAGUUUCCUAACCCCAACACUUGCUAUGAAGUCACAGUUUCUCCGAUUUAAAUAAGUGCCUAUUAUAUUUAAAUCUACCUCUGAAGAAAAGAUGAUAGCCAGGUGUGAUGGCUCACGCCUGUAAUCCCAGCACUUUGGGAGGCUGAAGCAGGCAGAUCACCUGAGCAGUUUAAAGAAAGUCUGAAGACCACUCCAGGAAAAUUGAGGAAACUAAAGCUAUUUUUACUACUGCUCUCAGAAUUGCAAAGCCAGUGCC